rnacentral:lncRNA from 1 species
CUUGAGGUGGCUUCCGGCCGCCAGGCGAGACUCCGCGGGAAAACUCCCUGCUAGAGAGACUAGGAGAUUUGGGGCUGCGGCCGUUUCCUCCGGAGCACCCACGGGACUGUGUGCUGGGGUCCCUCCACCGGCUGUGUCCUUUAUUCUUCUUUCUCACCCAACGAUUUACCUGAACGGUUAUAAAGUGCACGUUAUUUCCCUAAGGUCCUUCUUACUGAUGUGUUGCUCUUCUUCAUGGCUCGUGAAAACUAUUAGAGUCAUCCAAGGGUGGGAAGAGAGAUCAGCAACGUUAACUGGGUGUCAAGAAAACAUACCGAGAUUGAAGCCAUCCACUUCUGCAGGAACACCGAAAAGAAAGGUACAACGCUUGGGGAAAGACUGGAUUUCAUUAGGGACAGUGACAAUACCUGUUUGACAUAGAGGUUCCAGCGCUGGCCAGGGAACUCCCUGAGCACUAGUAAUGCCAGUGUCAGUUGUAGAAUUCUUUUAAAAUUUGAGUUAAUAGGGUCACUACUUUUUGAAUGCCUGCUGCAGAAACUAAGAAAAAUGGCUGGCUGAGCCAAUAGAAGAGGAUUUUGUAGCUCAACUCCUGGGGAAGAAAAUACUCCUUUUGACGGAGGGCAGGUGCUGUAGACCUUGCAAGGACAUAGCCAGUCUGCAAUGUCAUCUAGGCCCACCCGCUAAAGUUUUAAAAGUAAAGUAAAGUAUUU